rnacentral:rRNA from 1 species
UACGGGGGGUGCAAACGUUGCUCGGAAUUCUUGGGCGUAAAGCGCACGUAGGCGGCUCGUUAAGUCGGAUGUGAAAUCCCUCGGCUCAACCGAGGAAGUGCAUCCGAAACUGGCGAGCUUGAGUAUGGAAGAGGGUCUCGGAAUUCCCGGUGUAGAGGUGAAAUUCGUAGAUAUCGGGAGGAACACCAGUGGCGAAGGCGGAGACCUGGGCCAAUACUGACGCUGAGGUGCGAAAGCGUGGGGAGCAAACAGG